CCCUUCAUUGGAUAUACUUUAUAAACCCAUUCUGAGUAUCUUACCUGUUGCUUCCAUGAGUCAGUGACUUCGGUCCCUCUAACAAUGGCAUCAGUCAUUUGAAGAGAGUAUUCAUGGAAGGUACACAAUAAACUCUUGUAUUACAAUGUCAUCUGUCUGAUUAUGUUUAUAACAAAUUAUUAAAACUUUCAACAACGGAUCUCUUGGUUCUCGCAUCGAUGAAGAACGCAGCGAAAUGCGAUAAGUAGUGUGAAUUGCAGAAUUCAGUGAAUCAUCGAAUCUUUGAACGCACAUUGCGCCUCCUGGUAUUCCGGGAGGCAUGCCUGUUCGAGCGUCAUUAAAAACCACUCAAGCUCUUUUGCUUGGUAAUGAAAGAAGAGUAUGCUAGUCAUUCUCCCUUUCAAAAUACAAAGGCGGAAAGCCCCAUGUGCCCCGGCGUAGUAAGUUUUCUUUCGCUUGGAACAUGAGGUGAUCCUGCCAUUAACCCCCAAUUUUUCUAGGUUGACCUCGGAUCAGGUAGGGAUACCCGCUGAACUCAAGCAUAUCAAUAAGCGGAGGAAAAGAAACCAACAGGGAUUGCCUUAGUAACUGCGAGUGAAGUGGCAAAAGCUCAAAUUUGAAAUCUGGCGUCUUCGGCGUCCGAGUUGUAAUUUGGAGGGGCAUCUUCGGAGUUGGCGCCGUCCUAAGUUCCUUGGAACAGGACGUCAUAGAGGGUGAGAAUCCCGUGCCUGGAUGGCUGUCCAUCUCCAUGUGAAGUGUCUCCGACGAGUCGAGUUGUUUGGGAAUGCAGCUCAAAAUGGGUGGUAAAUUUCAUCUAAAGCUAAAUAUUGGCGAGAGACCGAUAGCGCACAAGUAGAGUGAUCGAAAGAUGAAAAGCACUUUGAAAAGAGAGUUAAAAAGUACGUGAAAUUGUUGAAAGGGAAGCGCUUGAGACC
rnacentral:rRNA from 1 species